GACGAACGCUGGCGGCGUGCCUAACACAUGCAAGUCGAGCGGAAAGGCCCCUUCGGGGGUACUCGAGCGGCGAACGGGUGAGUAACACGUGGGUAACCUGCCCUUGGCUCUGGGAUAAGCCCGGGAAACUGGGUCUAAUACCGGAUAUGACGCGUGAUUGCAUGAUCUGCGCGUGGAAAGGAUUUCCGGCCAAGGAUGGACUCGCGGCCUAUCAGCUAGUUGGUGGGGUAGUGGCCUACCAAGGCGACGACGGGUAGCCGGCCUGAGAGGGCGACCGGCCACACUGGGACUGAGACACGGCCCAGACUCCUACGGGAGGCAGCAGUGGGGAAUAUUGCACAAUGGGCGCAAGCCUGAUGCAGCAACGCCGCGUGAGGGACGACGGCCUUCGGGUUGUAAACCUCUUUCAGCUCCGACGAAGCUCCGUUCUUCUGGACGGAGUGACUGUAGGAGCAGAAGAAGCACCGGCUAACUACGUGCCAGCAGCCGCAGUAAAAC
rnacentral:rRNA from 1 species